rnacentral:tRNA from 1 species
UUCUUGAUAGCUUAACUUAGGUUAAAGCGUUUGGUUGUUAACCAUAAGAUUGUAGGUUCGAAUCUUACUCAAGAAG